rnacentral:rRNA from 1 species
GACGUAGGGCGCGAGCGUUGUCCGGAUUUAUUGGGCGUAAAGAGCUCGUAGGCGGCUUGUCGCGUCGUCCGUGAAAACCCACAGCUCAACUGUGGGCUUGCGGUCGAUACGGGCAGGCUAGAGUUCGGUAGGGGAGACUGGAAUUCCUGGUGUAGCGGUGAAAUGCGCAGAUAUCAGGAGGAACACCGGUGGCGAAGGCGGGAUCCUGGGCCAGUACUGACGCUGAGGAGCGAAAGCGUGGGGAGCAAACAGGG